rnacentral:rRNA from 1 species
UACAGAGGUCUCAAGCGUUGUUCGGAUUCAUUGGGCGUAAAGGGCGCGUAGGCGGCGGGGUAAGUCGGGUGUGAAAUCUCAGAGCUCAACUCUGAAACUGCACUCGAUACUGCUCUGCUUGAGGACUGGAGAGGAGACUGGAAUUCACGGUGUAGCAGUGAAAUGCGUAGAUAUCGUGAGGAAGACCAGUGGCGAAGGCGGGUCUCUGGGACAGUUCCUGACGCUGAGGCGCGAAAGCUAGGGGAGCGAACGGG